UUACGGCCACAUCAUGUAAAACGCCAAUUCCAGUACGAAUCACCGAAGUUAAGCAACGUCGAGCCAGGCCAGUACCUAGAUGGGUGACCGCUUGGGAAUACCAGGUUCUGUA